CGGCGGGCGGGUGAGUAACGCGUGGGUAACCUACCCUGUACACACGGAUAACAUACCGAAAGGUAUGCUAAUACGGGAUAAUAUAUUUGAGAGGCAUCUCUUGAAUAUCAAAGGUGAGCCAGUACAGGAUGGACCCGCGUCUGAUUAGCUAGUUGGUAAGGUAACGGCUUACCAAGGCGACGAUCAGUAGCCGACCUGAGAGGGUGAUCGGCCACAUUGGAACUGAGACACGGUCCAA
rnacentral:rRNA from 1 species